GACGAACGCUGGCGGCGUGCUUAACACAUGCAAGUCGAACGGAAAGGCCUGCAGCUUGCUGCGGGUACUCGAGUGGCGAACGGGUGAGUAACACGUGGGUGAUCUGCCUUGCACUUCGGGGUAAGCUUGGGAAACUGGGUCUAAUACCGGAUAGGACAGCUGUUUAGUGUCAGUUGUGGAAAGUUUUUUCGGUGCAAGAUGAGCUCGCGGCCUAUCAGCUUGUUGGUGGGGUAAUGGCCUACCAAGGCGUCGACGGGUAGCCGGCCUGAGAGGGUGUACGGCCACAUUGGGACUGAGAUACGGCCCAGACUCCUACGGGAGGCAGCAGUGGGGAAUAUUGCACAAUGGGCGGAAGCCUGAUGCAGCGACGCCGCGUGGGGGAUGAAGGCCUUCGGGUUGUAAACUCCUUUCGACAGGGACGAAGCGUAAGUGACGGUACCUGUAUAAGAAGCACCGGCUAACUACGUGCCAGCAGCCGCGGUAAUACGUAGGGUGCGAGCGUUGUCCGGAAUUACUGGGCGUAAAGAGCUCGUAGGUGGUUUGUCGCGUCGCCUGUGAAAUUCCGGGGCUUAACUCCGGGCGUGCAGGCGAUACGGGCUGACUUGAGUGCUGUAGGGGAGACUGGAAUUCCUGGUGUAGCGGUGAAAUGCGCAGAUAUCAGGAGGAACACCGAUGGCGAAGGCAGGUCUCUGGGCAGUAACUGGCGCUGAGGAGCGAAAGCAUGGGUAGCGAACAGGAUUAGAUACCCUGGUAGUCCAUGCCGUAAACGGUGGGCGCUAGGUGUAGGGGGCUUCCACGUCUUCUGUGCCGUAGCUAACGCAUUAAGCGCCCCGCCUGGGGAGUACGGCCGCAAGGCUA
rnacentral:rRNA from 1 species